UAAUAUGAACAGAUUAAUUUAAGUUUUAAGACCUAGUUGGGAAUAAGACUAAGCUAAGACCAAGCUUUCAUAAUUCAUAAAAAGUCUCCAUGUCAUUAUUAGAGAGCUAGCGAUAUAAAGAAAGACCUGUUACAGGAUGGGAGCCACGUGACUGCCACUGAGGCUGAGUGAGUAGCUUCUGCUGUUGUUGGAUCUAUUGCUGUUUUGCAACCAAAGUCUGUCAUUCACACUAACACUGAGACAAGGAGCCCAACACCACCUUCCACUGUCACUGCCCCUACCAGAGACAGAGCUUGUGAGCACAGGACACACCCUGAUCCUGCAGCUGCGGAACUGGCUUGCCUGUAUAGGUAUCCAGAAACUGCCAAAGUCUCCCUGUAUCAGUUUUCCUUCUAUUGCUGUAAUAAACACCAUGACCAAGGUAACUUACAGAGGAAGGUUUGGGCUUCCCAGGCAGCGUGACAGCAGGUGGCAGACUUGACACUGAGCACUGAGGGCUCACAUCUCAAACUGCAAGCAGGAAGCAGAGACCAAAUUUGAAAUGACGCAGAUCUUUAAAUUUGCAAAGCCCAACUCCAGUGACACCCUUCCAACAAGGCCACACUUCCCAAGCCUUCCCAAACAGGCCCAAGUAUUCAGAUGCCCAGGACUGAGGGCAGCAUUUAAACCCCCACAGCUGCAGCAGAAGCAGGACAAGACCUGACUUCUGUCUUCUUCCUCCCUUACAGAUAACAAAGGGGCUGCUGUUUCUAGUGUUCAGCAGCACUGUGUCCCUUCUACCAGACUUCCAUUUAACAAAAGUGAUGUCACAUAUGUUCAGUUUAAACAUGCUUGCCAGUGACGUCUUCCAAGAGUGUGGAAGCAGAGUCUAAGAUUCCUGGAACCAGCACCCUGCUGUUACCUCCUGUGCACACUGCUUGGUGACUGUAGUAGUUGGUCCUCUAGAGAAACAGAACUGAGAGAAUGAAGAUAUAUAUAUGUAUGAGAUGUGAGCCCUCAGCUACGGCUCCAGUGCCAUUCUGCCUGCCUGCUGCCACACUCCUCACCAUGAUGACCGUGCACUAAUCCUUUGAAACUGUCUUGGAGUUCCACCUUUACCCGAUCUAUGCCCUAGGUGUUAUCUUACAUGGGGUCCCCAAAGAUGUCAUCACCCCCAGACAACAGGAAGUAAUUUGAAGAGCAUGAUGCC